rnacentral:rRNA from 1 species
AUUGAACGCUGGCGGCAGGCCUAACACAUGCAAGUCGAACGAGUGGCGGACGGGUGAGUAAUGUCUGGGAAACUGCCCGCUGGCGGGGGAUAACUACUGGAAACGGUAGCUAAUACCGCAUACCAUCGGAUGUGCCCAGAUGGGAUUAGCUAGUAGGUGGGGUAAGGGCUCACCUGGGCCACGAUCCCUAGCUGGUCUGAGAGGAUGACCAGCCAACCUGGAACUGAAACACGGUCCAGACUCCUAUGGGAGGCAGCAGUGGGGAAUAUUGAACAAUGGGCGCAAGCCUGAUGCAGCCAUGCCGCGUGGAUGAAGAAGGCCUUCGGGUUGUAAAGUACUUUCAGCGGGGAGGCGUUACCCGCAGAAGAAGCACCGGCUAACUCCGUGCCAGCAGCCGCGGUAAUUC